UUUUUCAUAAUGCUGACUUUCUUGGACCAACGCAAUAAGAAAUUGGUAUCCCUUUGUUUAUCGAGCCAAACCGGAGAGAGAAACAAACAUGACUCUCCCUUGUUCAAAAUCACAAGUGUUAAUGACGAAUUUCGAUUCAUCACUCUCUUUCUCUGUCGGUAUUGUUUUCAAUCCGAGAGUAAAACCCUCGCAAUCUUCCCUCUUAGAUCUAUCCACCAAGCUAUGAUCUACCUCUUGCCAAAAAAAAAAGCCUGCUAAGAUCUACCCACUGAGGUAUCUCAAUCCAUUUCUGCAAAUCUGAUGGUACAUCAGUCACCGACACAUCUCCGUCUCCUCCAAAUCUGAUGCCACUGAGGAUUUGUUUGAGAUUUUUAUGGGUUGACUCUCCUCUGCAGCUGUCGAUCCGCAACUCUUUCUCUGCGGCUUCUCACAAUUGGGUCACCAAUUCAGUUCUCUCUCUAUAUAUAUAUGUAAAUCUUUCUUCCUUUUUUCCCUUAUUAUAAUUCCCAGAAAUUGAUCUCAGGUGCUUCAAGUAUGGAACUUUAUUUCUGCCCGGGCUUUAAUUUACACUUAUUGUUUGACAUCUGAAUUGAAUCAUUAAACUUGAACUUUGGGGUUUUUAGUUGUGCUUGUUAUUCUAUUCGAUCAAUGUUUGAUCGUUUUUUUUUUUUUUUUUCCUUUUGACAUCUCUUUGAUCAAUUAAUUGCUUCCAGGUUGCAAUACUAGUGGAGAUUGAGGUUGCUUUAAUUGAAAUUAAAAUUCUAAUAUGCUGUUCAUGUACUGUGGACUCGAGUACAGUUGCAGUGGCAAUUGAAACUCUUAAGAAUCUUGAUUGAUUAUCUGUUUGAUUAUCAGGUAUGAAAUUUCAGAAAUGGGUAUUGUUUCACCAAUCUCUUAAGUUCCAUUUUAAGUUGAACAUGAGUUCUCUGUAAUUCUUGUGGAUAAUUUUCACUGCCUUAUAGUAGUCUUAAUUAUGUCAUUCAUCUUCUCUUGAAUCUAUUAGAUUUUUUUGUGCCUUACUUGGACAUACAACUCUUGAAAUCAUUUUUAGUUCCUAUACAACAUCUGUUCUCAAACUAUUGAUAUGCUCCUUUAUUCAAUUGACCAACUUUCAUUAUAUUUUACAGUUCUUCUUAAAUCAAACUUGAAAUUUUUUUUGUCAGGUGGUGCUAUGACUUUUGUUAGAAGAAUUCUUCAACCCAGUAAUUUGCUUUCAUACUUAAGUACGAGCUGCUGAAGUUAUUGUGAUUCAAACUAUGAGAUGUGAAAAUGCUCGUUGAGACUUGCUGCUAAAUUUGGCUCAGCAAGUGUAGCUGUUCUAGGAUAUCAAGAAGGCGCUAUUAAGACAAUUGCACAUAAGGUUGCAGCAUAAAUGAGGCAAAGCUGGUAUACAAAAUAUUCUUAGGUUCUGUAUGCAUUAUUAUGUGGUUGCUAGAAGUUGGCAAUUGAUCUUACAUGUUUUACAGUUUGAUCCUUGGUACCAUAAUUAUUAGUGAAAUGCUCUUGUUUCUUUCAUGUGUUGAGAAAUCUAAAGUUGUAAUUGAAUGGUUUCAGGAAAUUUAUAAUUAAAUAUUUUGGGAUGAUUGAUUUA